rnacentral:rRNA from 1 species
UCAACUAUUAGGCUUCGGGGGAGUACUGCCAGACGUUGGAACCGGGAGAGGUAAGAGGUACUACAGGGGUAGGAGUGAAAUCUUGUAAUCCCUGUGGGACCACCUGUGGCGAAGGCGUCUUACCAGAACGGGUUCGACGGUGAGGACGAAAGCUGGGGGCACGAACCGGAUUAGAUACCCGGGUAGUCCCAGCCGUAAACGAUGCUCGCUAGGUGUCAGGCAUGGCGCGACCGUGUCUGGUGCCGCAGGGAAGCCGUGAAGCGAGCCACCUGGGAAGUACGGCCGCAAGGCUGAAACUUAAAGGAAUUGGCGGGGGAGCACAACAACGGGUGGAGCCCUGCGGUUUAAUUGGACUCAACGCCGGACAACUCACCGGGGGCGACAGCAAUAUGUAGGCCAAGCUGAAGACUUUGCCUGAAUCGCUGAGUAGUGGUGCAUGG